UACGUAGGGUGCAAGCGUUGUCCGGAAUUAUUGGGCGUAAAGAGCUCGUAGGCGGUCUGUCACGUCGGCUGUGAAAACCCGGGGCUCAACCCCGGGCCUGCAGUCGAUACGGGCAGACUAGAGUGUGGUAGGGGAGACUGGAAUUCCUGGUGUAGCGGUGAAAUGCGCAGAUAUCAGGAGGAACACCGGUGGCGAAGGCGGGUCUCUGGGCCAUUACUGACACUGAGAAGCGAAAGCAUGGGGAGCGAACAGG
rnacentral:rRNA from 1 species